GGAUAGCUAAUCCGGGAUUAAUUAUAUUGCAAUUUUCUCCCAGCCAAACAUGAGAUAAACUCUUCAUUAAUUAUUCCUUAUCCCGGAUAACAAACGAACCUUUAUAAUGUUCAACUCUAUUCUUUUCUGUCUUCUUUAUUGCGCAUAUAAUGAGAUUUUAGUUACUGAUAGAGUCAUCCUAAGAAUUUAAAGAAGAGAAAAGCAAGUAGAUGUAGGGUCGAAAACAUAUACUUGUGAUUACUUGUUUGUAGUUGGAAGUAUACAUGUUCUGCUGGCUAGUAAAUAUAUAUCAAGACGAUGGACUAGGCAAGCAACUACUCCUAGCAAAAUUAUGUUCUCUAUCAAGAUUAAUGCUCAAGUCCUUUCUCUUACUAGUAUAAAGUAUUUUGAAGUUGGAGCGUUGGUCUUUUAACAACCUCACAAGACUUCUCUUGGCAUUAGGUCUAAAUGGAGAAUCAGAUGCCAAAAAUCCAUCCACCAAAUGUAAAUAUGCCUCCAAGUCAUGGCAGCAUGCGACAUCUGCGUCAGGCUUCAAAAACGGCGACAUUCUCGUGUCAACUCUGAAUUCAGUACCAACGUGUGAAUACGCCCACGGCAUCUUACUAUCUAACAUCUCUAGCACGCGACCUGCUCCUGAUUCUCUAAGCUUUUUGUCUAGCUCUUCGCUCACAAACAUGCCAGGAACCCUAGUGAUUAUGUCUUGAUUAUUCACAAUACGUAACACCUUAACAUUGUUCGCGUUAAGACGAUCCGCAAAAACCCGAUUGCCUACGCGAGGGCCUCCAAAAGAAAAAACAGCCACUGGUGGUGCAUUUGGUGCACAUGUACUAACAUCAUCUGCUACUAAAAGAGCUAAAGCUGCACCAAGACUAUGUCCAGUGACAGUGAUGCUUAAAGGCUCUCCUUUAUACUGUUCAAUUAAUCUUUGUACUUCGUUAACAACUGAUUCAGCUAAACUUGGGACAUGUUCUCCACCUGUUUUAUACAAACUCAAGAAUCCACAUUCCACUUUAGAUUGUUCUUUAGCUAAAUCAUCAUUUUGUUCUACUAGCAAGGCGCGAAAAUUCUCUGCCCAUUCUAAACACGUGGCAGUACCUCGUAACGCAAUAACAAUAUCCCUCCUUCCCAUUCGUUGAAUCUCAUUCCUGUCCUCGCACACUGCCACAUACCCAAUCC
rnacentral:lncRNA from 1 species